CAUUCUGGAAAUUCAUAACACAGGUUGUUAAACACAUAAUUUUUUGUUGUUGUCAGUUAAGUAGCCACUAGUUAGUGAUACAUCUCUCUGUUUUUUUUUUCUAGCUUGAGUGUAAACUUUUAAAUUUUAUUACUUAUUUUGCGUGCAUGUGUGUGCCUGUGCCUGUCUGCCUGUGCCACAGCACAUAUUCGGAGAACAGAAGACUACUUGAGGGAGUUGGUUUUCUUCUUCCACCAUUUGGUUUGUAGGAUUGAGCAGAGGAUGUCAGACAAGUACUUUUACCCAGUAAGACACCUUGCCAUCCAUAUUUUAAAGAUUUUUUUUAAAUAGUAAACACUGAAGACUACUGAGAGUCACUCUCAGAUGAGCCAAGCUGCAAGAAAGACUCUCAAAGGAGUUCAACUGCCUGGAAGAAACCAGCCAAGCAACCUGAAAGCAGCAGAAAUGAGCCUGGCUGCCUGGAUGAGCUUUAGACCAACUGAGGCACAUGGAAGGGACACUCUCCAACCCAUUGAGCUGCCUGCAGGCUGUUCAGUAUGCUCCAGAUUCCCAGCUUUUGUGAGCUGUCACCCAUGCUGUGGUGGGCUUUGGUGAGGCAGCUGCUACUGUAUGUAAACCCCCACCCAUAUUCAUGUAAGUAACCCCAAUAAAACUCACAAAUUCACUAAGUUGGAC
rnacentral:lncRNA from 1 species